CGCGUAGGCGGUCAUGCAAGUCAGGUGUGAAAUCCCCAGGCUUAACCUGGGAACUGCGCUUGAAACUGCAUAGCUUGAGGCCGGGAGAGGAAAGUGGAAUUCCUGGUGUAGCGGCGAAAUGCGUAGAUAUCAGGAGGAACACCGGUGGCGAAGGCGGCUUUCUGGACCGGUUCUGACGCUGAAGCGCGAAAGCGUGGGGAGCAAACGG
rnacentral:rRNA from 1 species